AAUUUAGGAAUGGUUUUUACAACUCCUUAAGUGCUAAACAAAAAUUAUAUUUUAGGAGAUGAUGAACUUUAUAAAAUGAUCCAAUCUUGUUCUAUUUGUUAUAUCAAAAGAAGGGAAACUAUGGCUGCAAUUCUUAAGUUUAUAUAUGCUAUGUUUCUUUUUAUUUCCUUAUUUAUGUUUCCAAUGGCAAUUGAAAGUAAAAAUUGUCAAACUGAUGAAGAAUGUUUAAAAAAUUACAGAUGCCCUCCUCAUUUGAGUCUGCAGUGUAUUCAUGGUUGGUGUGAAUGUGAGCCGCCAGUGGAGCAGCCAAUAGAGACGCCGGUGGAUCUUAUUGAAUAAGUUAUUAACCUAGCAAAAUAUCUAUGUAAUAAUAAAAUCAUAUGUUGCAAUCCAUUUAUUAUGGUGCUACCAAGUUAAUGUAUUUCUGGACUUUAAGACUGUUGAAAUAAUAAAAUAAAGUAAUAAAGAAUAUUGUUUA